rnacentral:rRNA from 1 species
GACGAACGCUGGCGGCGUGCUUAACACAUGCAAGUCGAACGGAAAGGCCCUGCUUUUGUGGGGUGCUCGAGUGGCGAACGGGUGAGUAACACGUGAGUAACCUGCCCUUGACUUUGGGAUAACUUCAGGAAACUGGGGCUAAUACCGGAUAUGAGCUCCUGCUGCAUGUUGGGGGUUGGAAAGUUUCGGCGGUUGGGGAUGGACUCGCGGCUUAUCAGCUUGUUGGUGGGGUAGUGGCUUACCAAGGCUUUGACGGGUAGCCGGCCUGGGAGGGUGACCGGCCACAUUGGGACUGAGAUACGGCCCAGACUCCUACGGGAGGCAGCAGUGGGGAAUAUUGCACAAUGGGCGGAAGCCUGAUGCAGCAACGCCGCGUGCGGGAUGACGGCCUUCGGGUUGUAAACCGCUUUCGCCUGUGACGAAGCGUGAGUGACGGUAAUGGGUAAAGAAGCACCGGCUAACUACGUG